AGGGCAGCUACCCUGCGAAGGGGUGCGAAUCUCGAAAGCCUAUCUCAGUUCGGAUUGGAGGCUGAAACCCGCCUCCAUGAAGUUGGAUUCGCUAGUAAUCGCGCAUCAGCCAUGGCGCGGUGAAUACGUUCCCGGGCCUUGUACACACCGCCCGUCAAGCCAUGGGAGCUGGGGGUGCCUGAAGUUCGUGACCGCAAGGAGCGACCUAGGGCAAAACCGGUGACUGGGGCUAAGUCGUAACAAGGUAUC
rnacentral:rRNA from 1 species